CAGUGUUUGAAAAAAGCAGUACUACUCGUCCUCCAGUAACUCCCAGCACAUCUGAUGAUGAUGACGCUGCGGAAGCAGGUCCAUCAAAAGAAGUCUGGAGCAGCAGAAGUGGGACUUCUGUAAGACAUCACCACAAAAAACCUGUGGCAGCAAAGAAAGCAAGGUCUGAUGUCCAGGGCCAACCACAGCAGGCUACCCCGCCACGAAGAUUAUCGACAGUAUGUUCGGUCCCCCCACUCCAAAUUUUGGACGCACCUCCAAGACGUCAUCCACACUCCCCUCAUCUUGAUUCUUCUAGUCCUGGUAACAGCAUCCCUCCGCAACAACAGCAACACAGUGACAUGGAGGAGACAAUCAUCUUAGAAAUGCAGCCAUUAAGCCAAGGAAUCAGCCCCCCAGCACCUGUGAGUACACCACCACAGCAAAGCACAC